GACGAACGCUGGCGGCGUGCCUAAUACAUGCAAGUAGAACGCUGAAGGAGGAGCUUGCUUCUCUGGAUGAGUUGCGAACGGGUGAGUAACGCGUAGGUAACCUGCCUGGUAGCGGGGGAUAACUAUUGGAAACGAUAGCUAAUACCGCAUAAGAGUAGAUGUUGCAUGACAUUUGCUUAAAAGGUGCAAUUUCAUCACUACCAGAUGGACCUGCGUUGUAUUAGCUAGUUGGUGGGGUAACGGCUCACCAAGGCGACGAUACAUAGCCGACCUGAGAGGGUGAUCGGCCAAAAUGGGACUGAGACAAGGCCCAGACUCCUACGGGAGGCAGCAGUAGGGAAUCUUCGGCAAUGGACGGAAGGCUGAACGAGCAACGCCGCGUGAGUGAAGAAGGGUUUCGGAUCGGAAAGCUCUGUUGUAAGAGAAGAACGAGUGUGAGAGUGGAAAGUUCACACUGUGACGGUACCUUACCAGAAAGGGACGGCUAACUACGUG
rnacentral:rRNA from 1 species